AAAAGGAUGGAACAGGAAGCCAAAAAUACAUGCUCAAAUUUUGUCCCUUCCUAAGGUAUUGUUGCCCUUUUGAGGAGGAAAGAGAGGUCAAGGAAAGCUUUCUCAUUAACAGUUAAGAGCAAUGAUUGAAAUUUUGCUUCUUGAGGAAUUAGUUGUGGGACGAUAACAGAAAAAUAUACAUUCCAGAGGAGCCUACAAGACACUUUGAGGGAACACUGGACUCCUCCUUCUUCGUGUGACAGAAGUAUGUGUGAUUACCAGAAGAUCAGAGGAUUUGGAGAUCACACAAAGUUCAUCCAGGGAGUGAGGUCAUUCACAUUGACAAGGAUGAGGAGAGUGGUGUUCCAGCCUGUGUUGCAGUGUUCCCAGCAGUCUUGAUUUUCUGAUCCUGGCUUCCUAAUCACUGGAUCACACCUCAGGUAAUGAAUAGCAGUGCCUAUUAUCUUCAAAGCAUCAGUCUUCCUGCUAAGGAAUCAAGAAAAUUUGUUCCUAGCUCUGAGGUAGAAAGUUCA